rnacentral:tRNA from 1 species
UGCGCGAGUGGCGGAAUUGGUAGACGCGCACGGUUCAGGUCCGUGUGCUCGUGAGAGCGUGGGGGUUCAAGUCCCCCUCGCGCAC